UACAGAGGGUGCUAGCGUUGUUCGGAAUCAUUGGGCGUAAAGGGCGUGUAGGCGGUUUGUUAAGUCAUGUGUGAAAUCCCUCGGCUCAACCGGGGAACGACGCAUGAAACUGGCAAGCUAGAGUACCAAAGAGGGGGGUGGAAUUCCCGGUGUAGCGGUGAAAUUCGUAGAUAUCGGGAGGAACACCAGUGGCGAAGGCGGCUCUCUGGGCAGAUACCGACGCUGAGAUGCGAAAGCGUGGGAAGCAAACAGG
rnacentral:rRNA from 1 species